GAUGAACGCUGGCGGCGUGCUUAACACAUGCAAGUCGAACGAAGCAUUUAAGACAGAUUACUUCGGUUUGAAGUCUGUUAUGACUGAGUGGCGGACGGGUGAGUAACGCGUGGGUAACCUGCCUCAUACAGGGGGAUAGCAGCUGGAAACGGCUGGUAAUACCGCAUAAGCGCACAGUACCACAUGGUACAGUGUGAAAAACUCCGGUGGUAUGAGAUGGACCCGCGUCUGAUUAGCUUGUUGGCGGGGUAACGGCCCACCAAGGCGACGAUCAGUAGCCGACCUGAGAGGGUGACCGGCCACAUUGGGACUGAGACACGGCCCAGACUCCUACGGGAGGCAGCAGUGGGGAAUAUUGCACAAUGGAGGAAACUCUGAUGCAGCGACGCCGCGUGAGUGAAGAAGUAGUUCGCUAUGUAAAGCUCUAUCAGCAGGGAAGAUAGUGACGGUACCUGACGAAGAAGCUCCGGCUAAAUACGUG
rnacentral:rRNA from 1 species